AUUGAACGCUGGCGGCAGGCCUAACACAUGCAAGUCGAGCGGAUGAAGGGAGCUUGCUCCUGGAUUCAGCGGCGGACGGGUGAGUAAUGCCUAGGAAUCUGCCUGGUAGUGGGGGAUAACGUCCGGAAACGGGCGCUAAUACCGCAUACGUCCUGAGGGAGAAAGUGGGGGAUCUUCGGACCUCACGCUAUCAGAUGAGCCUAGGUCGGAUUAGCUAGUUGGUGGGGUAAAGGCCUACCAAGGCGACGAUCCGUAACUGGUCUGAGAGGAUGAUCAGUCACACUGGAACUGAGACACGGUCCAGACUCCUACGGGAGGCAGCAGUGGGGAAUAUUGGACAAUGGGCGAAAGCCUGAUCCAGCCAUGCCGCGUGUGUGAAGAAGGUCUUCGGAUUGUAAGGCACUUUAAGUUGGGAGGAAGGGCAGUAAGUUAAUACCUUGCUGUUUUGACGUUACCAACAGAAUAAGCACCGGCUAACUUCGU
rnacentral:rRNA from 1 species